UUCUGAGGAAAGAAAGCAGGGACCAUUUGGCCCUUGCGCUGUUUGAGCGGCCGAUAUCUGAUUAGCUAGUUGGUGGGGUAAAGGCCUACCAAGGCGACGAUCAGUAGCGGGUCUGAGAGGAUGAUCCGCCACACUGGGACUGAGACACGGCCCAGACUCCUACGGGAGGCAGCAGUGGGGAAUUUUGGACAAUGGGCGCAAGCCUGAUCCAGCCAUGCCGCGUGUCUGAAGAAGGCCUUCGGGUUGUAAAGGACUUUUGUCAGGGAAGAAAAGGGCGGGGUUAAUACCCCUGUCUGAUGACGGUACCUGAAGAAUAAGCACGGG
rnacentral:rRNA from 1 species